ACUGCUGGGUGAUUGUUUGGUGAUAAGUACUUGGAGUUUCUGCAGCCUGUGGCUCCUUUCUCCUGCUGGACUUUUGGUUUUCUGGCUAAGUUCUGGUCAGCUUCCUGAUCAAGUCUGUUAGUUCUUGGGCUAGCUUUAACUGUGUUAGAGCUGGUUUCUGAGGCAGGAAUCAUUCCACAUCAUGGCAUAUUUUGUGCUGUUGGUGUAUGUGAUGAAGGACUGUGAGUAUCACUUAUGAAAAGAGCUGGCCCAGAGUUCCUGCCCCCUUAUUGGUGUCUUCUUAGGGUAACAGCUCCUCAAAAAUUUGAGCAAAACUGGUGUGCAACAGAUCCACAGCAUUGUAUGUUUAUGGGUGUCAACCUGAUGUGUCUUGUGCUUUAAAAAGAGAAAACAAACCUUCUGAAUUGACAGCUAACAACUUUUAAGGACGUUAACAUAAUUAAUGCACUACAAGAUCCUUGCAUUGUGGGAACCAUGUUUUCAAUAUCCUAUUGUUCUCAGCUAUAAUGGGAAUUGAAGCCACAUCAAUCAAACCAAACUUACUGAUGGCUUAGGCAAAAGUGUCUGAUACCUGUCAUGAGUGGGUAACUCCAGUACCCAAAUCUAGGAACUGCGUGCUUGCAAAACUCUACCCUGAAAUAGCCCAAAUGACCUGUUGCAGAAGAGGGGGACAGCAGAAAUACAAUUGUGAAACACAUUUUCACUACCAUAUUCUGUGCAUUAUGCAAUGCCUUGUUAUGAAGGUUACCCUUCACUUCUGAAGUAGUUUGCAUGCAGACCUAAACUGGUAACUCAGAGCAGGAUCUUCUGCUUAACAGAAUAGUUGUUUGUUAAUGUCAGGCUCAACUACUGUCAAAUGAUGCUGACUGCAAUUCUAGUCAAAAUCAAAUUUUGUCUGCCUUGUGUAAUGCCAUUUGCACUAGCAGGAAGGCAUCACAAUAGUGCAUCCAAAACUGUAGAGUCACAAAGAGAAUAGAACUCUGAGGUUCCAAAGGAAUGUUUGAUCUUGAACUUUUUGGCUAUGUGUUUAAUUUUCUCCCAUAGUCAGUACAGUGUCAGUACUCUUUGCAAAUGUGAACUAGCUCUGCAUCCAAAUGUGUGUUUUUAAAGCUCUGCAUCAGUACGUACAUCUUGCUGAUAUAAAUCUACCAGAGGCAUUACUUCAUGAUAAGUAAUGCUGAAGUAUAUAUACAUUAUUUUCAUGAGCCUGUGCUUUUACCUACUGAUUACAUUUUGUUUUGUACAAGUUUUGAUUAUAUACUUUGUAACUGACUCUGAAAACUCCCCCUUUGCCUCAGGCCUUUCCCUUUUCUAUAGCGUUAAAACAGUCUCUCUGCUAAUGUCUAGCAGAUAACUCAGAUGCAAGGAAAGAUAAAUUCUGACCACAAGCAUUCCCCUUAAUACUUUUCCUGCUGUUCUUCAGAUUUAUCAUUCAUCAGCCUACUGUGAACCUAUUCACAGUCAUCGUAGUCACUAGAAAAUUUUACCAGUGCUUAAUGAAUAUUACUGUUCAAAAUCUUGCCUUGCUUACAGGUCUAAUUGCUAUGGCUCUACUUUUUUCUUUAAAUCUUGACAAAAGCAUUCUUUUGACCAGUUUCAAUUUUCCAUAAAUAUUCUGCCAAGUUGUGAUUAUAACAAAAAUAGAAGAUGAAAGAAUGUUUCAACAGUUGAAUUUCAUUGAGACUUUUCUGAUUUUCCCACCAAUUCUGUAUCCUUCAUUUCUGUGUUUCUUCUCUAAAUAUUCUUCUGUCAUGCUUCUGAUUUUGUGAAGUUGGUGUUAAUUCUAUCACUAACUAGAGAUAAGAAAGAAAAUUUCACAUUUUUACUCGUGGUUACUGAGACCUUCUUGGAAGGCCUAAGGUUGCUCUAUAUCUGACCUGGGGAGAUGUAUUCUAGACAUAACAGCACUGGUGUUAUGGCUGUUAUUUGGCAUUUCUUCUCUGAUUUUUAUAUGUAAGGAUAUUCACUGGUCAGCAUUCUUAAUCCUAAUUUCCAUAACCUGUUCAGAUACACUAUUCCUUUCCCUCUUUUUGUUCUUAAAGAUAUUACUUUUUAUUUUCUCUAUAAAAUGUAUGUAUUUUUGAAUAGGUUCAUGUUACAAAAUGAUUUAAAUAGAAAUGUAAUUUUGUCCUGAGGUUUGAGAGAAGCCUUCAGAUAUCAGAGUUGUGCUAUCAUAUGUUGAUAGACAUGUUUAUUUUAAUUCUGCUCUCAGAUAUGUCUGCAUAAGGGAGAAGUUUAGAAUUAGUUGGUUAAUUGUAAUGGCUGUCAUAAAUAAAUGAUCCUAC
ensembl:lncRNA